rnacentral:rRNA from 1 species
GGGACGAACGCUGGCGGCGUGCUUAACACAUGCAAGUCGAACGGUAAGGCCCCUUCGGGGGUACACGAGUGGCGAACGGGUGAGUAACACGUGGGUAAUCUGCCCUGCACUUCGGGAUAAGCCUGGGAAACUGGGUCUAAUACCGGAUAUGAACUCCUGCCGCAUGGUGGGGGUUGGAAAGUUUUUCGGUGCAGGAUGAGCCCGCGGCCUAUCAGCUUGUUGGUGGGGUAAUGGCCUACCUAGGCGACGACGGGUAGCCGGCCUGAGAGGGUGAUCGGCCACACUGGGACUGAGACACGGCCCAGACUCCUACGGGAGGCAGCAGUGGGGAAUAUUGCACAAUGGGCGAAAGCCUGGUGCAGCGACGCCGCGUGGGGGAUGACGGUCUUCGGAUUGUAAACCCCUUUCAGUAGGGACGAAGCGCAAGUGACGUACCUGCAGAAGAAGCACGCUAACUACGUGCCAGCAGCCGC